rnacentral:lncRNA from 1 species
AAAACGCAAAAAGUAGCCCAUGCGAAUGUCGGUGAUCUCAUUUUCAUGAAAAAGUUACUUAAAAAUAAUUACUACAAUUUUAACGUCAAAACCUCUUCAUCUUUAUUUAUCAUGCCCAAUGAGAGUCUAAACAGGAAGAUGUUUUUCUACCUAUUUGAGAAGGAUCAAAAGACUUGCGGCUACCGAGGAAAAUGAGAAAAAGUUACUUUGUGACUGUCGGCUUAUUUUUAUAGAUACAAAGUCGCCUUGGAAAAGCUAUUUAAAAAGGUGAAAAGUGGUUUUACCACUAGAAAAAACACACAGAGGAAAUCAAGGAAAAAAAAACCUAGCAAUUAUUUUUUAUGCAAGAAGUCAAAUUAAAUACCUUCAUUUUUGAAGUUUGACUUUUCAAGAUCUUCUUUACUGCAUUAUCUUUUGAAUAAAAUUGGUCUGGAGUCAAUAUCUUCAUUGGUUCUCGAGAUAUCGAAAAAAACCUGAUAUACGUACGUACAAUUGUACGCACGUAAAUACAUCUAUUUUUAAACCUUCGAAUAUGCUUUUAAGGUUGUUCGAUCAUGAACAAUAGUAUAGUAUAGGGAAAACCUAUGUUAAAAUUUAAUUUAAAGAUAAAUGACAAUAUUUGAUAUUAAAUAAAACUUGACAAUUAGAAUUGAUUUAUUACAAAAUUAUGAAACUUUUGACCGUUUUGUUUACGAGAAAUCUGGAUUUAAUAGUGCCAUUGGGUUUAGUGUUUAACCUAACUUUUAACUGAACUUUAUACAUUUAUUAUUGCCAAACUAAACGGUGAAAUUUAUUGAUAAAGCGAACUUGAAUUCUUUGAAUUAUUAGCUAUCACUUUUGCAAUUUUUAUAGAUUAAUUGUUAUUUUAAAUGAAUUUUCAUGAGGGUUAUGUGAAUUAUUUGUUGAUAAAAAUAGUCAUAAAUGAAUCUAUAAUGUAAGGGGAAUAAUAAGCAUUAAAAAAAAGAAAAUAAUUAUUAAAGUGAUGAUAAUAAGUUUUUAUAUAAAAAAUACUUGAUGAAUAUUCAAAAAUUGAAUUGGCAAAGUAAUUUUAUUCGAAGGUGAUAUCGUUGCGUAAGAACAAAACAUUGUGAAUUAAUAUGGACACUUGAUGUUUGUAAAUUUAAAUAGAAAUAAAUCUAGACAUUUAUUUCUAUUGUUUAGAUUUUUAAAUUUCCUCGAUAGUACAAAGGGCAAUAUUUCCGGCUGGUAGAGACUCGUAAUAAGACUGCUAUUUCAUAACAUCUAAUGAAGCCUGUAGGCGAGGGUACCAAAAAUUCAAGUUUACAUCUUGUCAUGUGUUGAGGAAUCCCUAAUUGAGGUUAGCGCUCCAAGACAAAGGUUCUUUCUCAAGUGAACUUCCGGUGUGUGCGCGUGCCUAUUUCUUCUUGACAAGACGCCAUGGGAUUCAAGAGGAAAUGACAGCUGUUGAUCAAAGGAUCUUACCGAAAUCUUUCAAUUGAAAAUUGAUAUCUAUUGUUUUAAACGAGAAAUAACCAAUGGUCCGACACGGUACAACGCUUGUACUUGGCGCACGCGCACAACAUCGUGUGAAUGAACAUCCGGUAUGUUCUUGAUGGGUUUUUGUACGACACACGACACAAUAUUCAGGGCCCUAUGUAUUUUUAACAUUUUUUCAAGCCCUUUUUUGUCUAUCAAAGUUUUCAAGUUUCAAAAAAAAAAAUCUCUUCUUCAGCUGUGUUGUGUCUCAGAAUUCAGUAAAAGAAUAACUAAUUAAUGAAUCAGUGAAUUUUGAGUAAUUUUAAUAAAUAAUUCACCUAUUGCUUUGGUGGUAUUUUCUAUCAGUUCUGAAUUGUAAAUGUUCUUAUCAUAAUUACUUGUAAAUUAUGACGUAACCUCAAUAAAUAACAGAAUUUUCAAGAUUAUCUGAAAAUUUAAAUAGUGUUAUCGGUGUUAAAAAUCAUAAGAACAACCGUAUAAGUAGACAAAAAAAACCCAAUGUCAUUAUUAAUAAUAUCUUGAAAACAAUAUGCUAAUCAAAUUGAUUUUGGUCAUUUUCUUAAAGGUUAUCAAGAGUAUUACGCUCACUUAAUCCUAUCUUAUGUUUUAAUUUGAAUAAAAGUGAAAUCAUCAAAUCUCAAAUGUCAAUGUUAAAAACUUGCCAAAGACAUUAGAAAUGUAUCUCACGCUAUUUAUUACACAAAAAAUAGUUAUUUACUCCAAAAAAAAAUUAUUUAAUCAUUUUUCAUUGUUGACCAACUGAAUAAAAAGAGGAACAGUUAUAUUCCAUUUCUAAGACAUUGAUUUAAAUAAUUUCACCUAAAACU